CCUAAUAUUUUGUUGGUCCCCUUUUGCUGCCAAAACCGCCCUGACCCGUUGAGGCAUGGACUCCACUAGACCCCUGAAGGUGAGCUGUGGUAUCUGUCACCAAGAUGUUAGCAGCAGAUCCUUUAAGUCCUGGCGCAUUAUCCUGCUGAAAGAGGCCACAGCCACCAGGGAAUACCGUUUCCAUGAAAGGGUGUACAUGGUCUGCAACAAUGCUUAGGUAGGUGGUACAUGUCAAAGUAACAUCCACAUGGAUGGCAGGACCCAAGGUUUCCCAGCAGAACCUUGCCCAAAGCAUCACACUGUCUCCGCUGGCUUGCCUUCUUCCCAUAGUGCAUCCUGGUGCCAUGUGUUCCCCAGGUAAGCAACGCACACGCACGCGGCCAUCCACGUGAUGUAAAAGAAAACAUGAUUCAUCGGACCAGCCCACCUUCUUCCAUUGCUCCGUGGUCCAGUUCUGAUGCUCACGUGCUCACGUGUUGGCGCUUUCGGCGGUGGACAGGGGUCAGCAUGGGCACCCUGACUGGUCUGUGGCUAUGCAGCCCCAUACGCAUCAAACUGUGAUGCACUGUGUAUUCUGACACCUUUCUUUCAGAACUAGCAUUAACUUCUUGAGCAAUUUGAGCUACAGUAGCUCGUCUGUUGGAUCAGACCACACGGGCCAGCCUUCGCUCCCCAAGUGCAUCAUUGAGCCUUGGUCGCCCAUGACCCUGUCACCGGUUCACCACUGUUCCUUCCUUGGACCAAUUUCAAUAGACACUGACCACUGCAGACCGGGAACACCACACAAGAGCUGCAGUUUUGGAGAUGCUCUGACCCAGUCGUCUAGCUAUCACAAUUUGGCCCUUGUCAAACUCGCACAAAUCCUUACGCUUGCCCAUUUUUCCUGCUUCUAACACACCAACUUUGAGGACAAAAUGUUCACUUGCUGCCUAAUAUAUCCCACCCACUAACAGGUGCCGUGAUGAAGAGAUAAUCAGUGUUAUUCACUUCACCUGUCAGUGGUCAUAAUGUUAUGCCUGAUUGGUGUGUAUACGUAUAUGUAAAACUUUUGUAAAAAAAAAAAAAAAAAAAAAUUAAAUUGUAA